AGCAGCCCAGAGCCUGAAUCAGUGUGUGUGUUAGUGGAAGCGUCUGGAAAGGCGCGCGAUACAGGGUGACAGCCCCGUACACAAAAAUGCACAUACUGUGAGCUCGAUGAGUAGGGCGGGACACGUGGUAUCCUGUCUGAAUAUGGGGGGACCAUCCUCCAAGGCUAAAUACUCCUGACUGACCGAUAGUGAACCAGUACCGUGAGGGAAAGGCGAAAAGAACCCCGGCGAGGGGAGUGAAAAAGAACCUGAAACCGUGUACGUACAAGCAGUGGGAGCACGCUUAGGCGUGUGACUGCGUACCUUUUGUAUAAUGGGUCAGCGACUUAUAUUCUGUAGCAAGGUUAACCGAAUAGGGGAGCCGAAGGGAAACCGAGUCUUAACUGGGCGUUAAGUUGCAGGGUAUAGACCCGAAACCCGGUGAUCUAGCCAUGGGCAGGUUGAAGGUUGGGUAACACUAACUGGAGGACCGAACCGACUAAUGUUGAAAAAUUAGCGGAUGACUUGUGGCUGGGGGUGAAAGGCCAAUCAAACCGGGAGAUAGCUGGUUCUCCCCGAAAGCU
rnacentral:rRNA from 1 species